rnacentral:lncRNA from 1 species
AGUUCUUCUACAGUAUUGCUACAUGUAUAGCUACUGUUACAACUUGGCUUACAGUGCUGAUGUGGAAAUUGGAAGGAAAAAAAGAGAACACAACGGCCAAAACCGAUUCCCUACGCUAAUGGAAACCUAAUCCCUAAUUUUUACUCCACCCAUUGCGAUUGCUACCAAGAUAAAGCUCUCCCACUCUCCAAAAUGUCAGGCGACAUCGAUCGUCCGGCUGCAAAAAUGUCGGCGCCCGGGGUCUUCUUCCAGUUGCAGGAAUUUUUUUGGCGACCACCGAAAUACAUCUGGCCGCCGCAUAACCAGUACGAUCGUCAUUCCACCCUGUCCGUUGGCAACCCAUCAACAACUUCCUCAUUUAUCUUGGGUAACUAAGAAGAAGGUGACGUAUACGUGAUUUCUCUGCCAUUUAAAUUUCUAUACUUGAUAUCCAGCCAACGGUCUUGCACGGCUCCGCUCGUCUGGCCCUUUUUUCCGUUUGAAGGCUUUUGUUAUCAAUUUAAAAUUUUGAAAAUUGUGUGGGUUGGUCGUCAAUAUUGGUAGUGGAGCUCUUUGGCUCUUCUAGAUUUUUGAAAGUGAUGAAAGCAAGAUUAUAUUUCACAAUCGUCUUCAGUGUCAAUUGCAUUAUCUUCUUGUUUAAUUGCCAGGAUUAAUAGUGAAGGGAAGUGCAGUUUUCCAAUCUGCCCACCAGAUGUUUGAUGAAUGCUCAAACGUCGAUGUGAUGAAUAUAGUGUAAGGACACCAGUAGUUGAACAAUUUCGUGUAACUUCAACUAGAAAACUUCAACUAGAAAAUAUGAGAUAUCCACACAAAGUAAGAUCAAGGUUGAGUGUGGUCAAGCCCCACGAGGCACAUCCAAGUUGACAAAGGAAGGACAGUGUGGGGCUCGCAACCCCAGCGUGGGGAGUUCGAUUCCUGGUUGGAGCAGCUGAGUGUUGUAAUAACCAGAGGAAGGGUUGGAGCAGCUUGGUAAUGUAAUAACCAUAGAGGAGGCUCCCUUGGGGCCAGGAGUAUAAAGGCUGUUCGAACCCUGGUCAACUUGGGCACAUCCCGCGAUUUACCUCCUUGAGCUGCUGAGGGGCCGGAAGUUCAGGGACGAGGAUAUAGUCUGGCGUAAGAUAGGACACCUCGUUAAAAAAAAAAAAAAAAAAAAAAAGGUUGAGUGUGGUCAAUUUUCUUCAUGUCUUAAUUAGUUUAAUAUUCUUAUCCAAUGUUUAGAACUUAAACUAGAACAAGUAGUUCUGGUUUUCAAGCAAGACUAGUUUGGAAUCCUUCCACUUAAAUAACUUGUACACAUUUUAAACCUUGAUAGAUGUCUAGAAAAUCUGAAGUGGACGUGUAUGGAAUAGAUGUGAACAUCUAGAAAAUCUAAUGUUGAUUAAGUUUUCCAUGGCAUGUGAACCUCUAACUGCUUAAAUUUAUUUGGUUAUGAUGGUAUGUUUAAUAUUUCAUCUAAAAAAUUAAAUUUGUGUUAUGUUGAUGUGAUUCUUUCAUGCUGUUGAACUAGAUUAGUUCGAUGGCAAACAAGAAUAGGGAAAUUUGUCAUUGUUGUAGACAAGCAGGACAUACGUUGCUGGAAUGCCAAAAAAAAAAAAGAAAAUGAUGCCCAAACUAGGGUGCAGGCUUCACCAAAUGGAUGGAGGUGGAAAAGUACAAUGAACAUUGUAGAAUUCCUGAUUUUCAGUCCUAAUUUCUAGCAGAUCCUGCAACUGUAAAUUAGUUUCCCAAUU